rnacentral:rRNA from 1 species
AUUGAACGCUGGCGGCAGGCCUAACACAUGCAAGUCGAGCGGAUGAAGGGAGCUUGCUCCUGGAUUCAGCGGCGGACGGGUGAGUAAUGCCUAGGAAUCUGCCUGGUAGUGGGGGAUAACGUCCGGAAACGGGCGCUAAUACCGCAUACGUCCUGAGGGAGAAAGUGGGGGAUCUUCGGACCUCACGCUAUCAGAUGAGCCUAGGUCGGAUUGGCUAGUUGGUGGGGUAAAGGCCUACCAAGGCGACGAUCCGUAACUGGUCUGAGAGGAUGAUCAGUCACACUGGAACUGAGACACGGUCCAGACUCCUACGGGAGGCAGCAGUGGGGAAUAUUGGACAAUGGGCGAAAGCCUGAUCCAGCCGUGCCGCGUGUGUGAAGAAGGUCUUCGGAUUGUAAAGCACUUUAAGUUGGGAGGAAGGGCAGUAAGUUAAUACCUUGCUGUUUUGACGUUACCAACAGAAUAAGCACCGGCUAACUUCGUG